rnacentral:rRNA from 1 species
UACAGAGGUCUCAAGCGUUGUUCGGAUUCAUUGGGCGUAAAGGGUGCGUAGGUGGCGGGGUAAGUCAGGUGUGAAAUCUCGAGGCUCAACCUCGAAACUGCACUUGAUACUGCCUUGCUCGAGUACUGGAGAGGAGAUUGGAAUUUACGGUGUAGCAGUGAAAUGCGUAGAUAUCGUAAGGAAGACCAGUGGCGAAGGCGAAUCUCUGGACAGUUACUGACACUGAGGCACGAAGGCCAGGGGAGCAAACGGG